GUGGGCAAUCUGCCCUGCACUCUGGGACAAGCCCUGGAAACGGGGUCUAAUACCGGAUACUGACCCGCUUGGGCAUCCAAGCGGUUCGAAAGCUCCGGCGGUGCAGGAUGAGCCCGCGGCCUAUCAGCUUGUUGGUGAGGUAAUGGCUCACCAAGGCGACGACGGGUAGCCGGCCUGAGAGGGCGACCGGCCACACUGGGACUGAGACACGGCCCAGACUCCUACGGGAGGCAGCAGUGGGGAAUAUUGCACAAUGGGCGAAAGCCUGAUGCAGCGACGCCGCGUGAGGGAUGACGGCCUUCGGGUUGUAAACCUCUUUCAGCAGGGAAGAAGCGAAAGUGACGGUACCUGCAGAAGAAGCGCCGGCUAACUACGUGCCAGCAGCCGCGGUAAUACGUAGGGCGCGAGCGUUGUCCGGAAUUAUUGGGCGUAAAGAGCUCGUAGGCGGCUUGUCACGUCGGUUGUGAAAGCCCGGGGCUUAACCCCGGGUCUGCAGUCGAUACGGGCAGGCUAGAGUUCGGUAGGGGAGAUCGGAAUUCCUGGUGUAGCGGUGAAAUGCGCAGAUAUCAGGAGGAACACCGGUGGCGAAGGCGGAUCUCUGGGCCGAUACUGACGCUGAGGAGCGAAAGCGUGGGGAGCGAACAGGAUUAGAUACCCUGGUAGUCCACGCCGUANACGGUGGGCACUAGGUGUGGGCGACAUUCCACGUCGUCCGUGCCGCAGCUAACGC
rnacentral:rRNA from 1 species